rnacentral:lncRNA from 1 species
GUGUCAUAUCAAAUUGUUGUCGUUAUUGAGAUAUUCAUCAUAUUGGUAUCAAAUUUUCAGGACUCUGAAAAGAUCAUUGUUCUGUUUGUAUUAUGUUUAUGAUGUCUAAGGUAAUUCGUGUGUUUAUGCUUAAGGUGUCAGACCACAAAUGCAAAACCCAUCUACAUUCAACCAUAUUUUUGGAAGUUAAGGAAGUACACCACUAAUUUAUGGACCCUUUGCUUUCUAUGUUAGAUUUCAAGCAGACACAGCUAUUGCAUUUUAAGUUUAAAUACAGUGACAUUAAUUGCAUGUCAAGGC